CAAAGGUUUGGUCCUGGCCUUUCCAACAACUUUAGCUCAGCUUACACAUGCAAGUUUCCGCACCCCCGUGAGAAUGCCCCACAGUUCCCUGCCUGGGAACAAGGAGCUGGUAUCAGGCACACCCCUUCCAUAGCCCACGACGCCUUGCUUAGCCACACCCCCAAGGGAAUUCAGCAGUGAUAAACAUUAAGCCAUAAGUGAAAACUUGACUUAGUCAGAGCUAAGAGGGCCGGUAAAACUCGUGCCAGCCACCGCGGUUAUACGAGAGACCCAAGUUGUUAGACAUCGGCGUAAAGCGUGGUUAAGAUAGAUUCACUACUAAAGCCAAACACCCUCCGUACUGUUAUACGUUCACGAGAGUAGGAAGCCCAAUCACGAAAGUGGCUUUACAACAUCUGAGCCCACGAAAGCUAGGGUACAAACUGGGAUUAGAUACCCCACUAUGCCUAGCCAUAAACAUAGACAGUUCACAUACCCCGCUGUCCGCCCGGGUACUACGAGCAUAAGCUUAAAACCCAAAGGACUUGGCGGUGCUUUAAACCCACCUAGAGGAGCCUGUUCUAGAACCGAUAAUCCCCGUUCAACCUCACCCCUCCUUGCUCUUUCCGCCUAUAUACCACCGUCGUCAGUUUACCCUGUGAAGGUUAAACAGUAAGCACAAUCGGCACAGCCCAAAACGUCAGGUCGAGGUGUAGCGUAUGGAGGGGGAAGAAAUGGGCUACAUUCCCUAAUAUUAGGGCAUACGGAUUAUAUGAUGAAACGCAUAUCUGAAGGAGGAUUUAGCAGUAAGCGGGAAAUAGAGUGUCCCACUGAAACCGGCUCUAAAGCGCGCACACACCGCCCGUCACUCUCCCCGAGCUAAGAUCUUUAAUUAACUAAAGCCCCACAAUUGCAAAGGGGAGGCAAGUCGUAACAUGGUAAGUGUACCGGAAGGUGCACUUGGAAUAAAUACAC
rnacentral:ncRNA from 1 species